rnacentral:rRNA from 1 species
UAAUACGUAGGGGGCGAGCGUUGUCCGGAUUCAUUGGGCGUAAAGAGCUCGUAGGCGGCUUCGUAAGUCAGGUGUGAAACCUCCAGGCUCAACCUGGAGCCGCCAUCUGAUACUGCGAUGGCUUGAGUCCAGUAGGGGCGCGCGGAAUUCCUGGUGUAGCGGUGAAAUGCGCAGAUAUCAGGAGGAACACCGGUGGCGAAGGCGGCGCGCUGGGCUGGAACUGACGCUGAGGAGCGAAAGCGUGGGGAGCAAACAGGAUUAGAUACCCUGGUAGUCCACGCCGUAAACGUUGGGCACUAGGUGUGGGGCCUUAUCAACGGGUUCCGUGCCGUAGCUAACGCAUUAAGUGCCCCGCCUGGGGAGUACGGCCGCAAGGCUA